rnacentral:rRNA from 1 species
UCAAAACUUUUCAGCUAGAGUAUGAUAGAGGAAAGCAGAAUUUCUAGUGUAGAGGUGAAAUUCGUAGAUAUUAGAAAGAAUACCAAUUGCGAAGGCAGCUUUCUGGAUCAUUACUGACACUGAGGAACGAAAGCAUGGGUAGCGAAGAGGAUUAGAUACCCUCGUAGUCCAUGCCGUAAACGAUGUGUGUUAGACGUUGGAAAUUUAUUUUCAGUGUCGCAGCGAAAGCGAUAAACACACCGCCUGGGGAGUACGACCGCAAGGUUAAAACUCAAAUGAAUUGACGGGGACCCGCACAAGUAGUGGAGCAUGUGGUUUAAUUCGAAGAUACGCGCAGAACCUUACCAACACUUGACAUGUUCGUCGCGACUCUAAGAGAUUAGAGUUUUCGGUUCGGCCGGACGAAACACAGGUGCUGCAUGGCUGUCGUCAGCUCGUGUCGUGAGAUGUUGGGUUAAGUCCCGCAACGAGCGCAACCCUCACUUUUAGUUGCCAUCAUUAAGUUGGGCACUCUGAAAGAACUGCCAGUGAUAAGCUGGAGGAAGGUGGGGAUGACGUCAAGUCCUCAUGGCCCUUACGUGUUGGGCUACACACGUGCUACAAUGGUAUCUACAACAGGAAGCAAGACUGCGAAGUUAAGCAAAUCCCUAAAAGAUACCUCAGUUCGGAUUGCACUCUGCAACUCGAGUGCAUGAAGCUGGAAUUACUAGUAAUCGUGGAUCAGCGUGCCACGGUGAAUGCGUUCCCGGGUCUUGUACACACCGCCCGUCACACCAUGGGAGCUGGUUCUACCUUAAGGCAAGGUUUUAAACCCUUGACCACGGUAUAGUCAGCGACUGGGGUGAAGUCGUAACAAGGU